UUUUUUCCAGCGAGUAUUUCUUCCCUAGCGGUGCCAUCUUCGUUGCUGAUUUAUCUGGAAUCAAAUGAAUCACUAAAGGGAAGGGAGAGGCAUUGACAUUUGAAGAAAAUUAAUCAAUUGCUAGUGAUAGAGAUGCAUUUGAAGAACAUUAAUCGAAAAAUCAAUUGCUAGAGAUAGAGAGGCAUUUGAAGAAAUUAAUCAAUUGUCCAAUCCUAUUGUAAAUGAGAUAGAAAAUUGCAUUCUAGACUCUAGUUCAUGAGAGAGAGGAAUUAAUGCAUUGAGAUUUAGUGUUCUAAAGUUUUUCUCUGAUUUUGUCCCAAAGGUAUCAGUUGUAAGGUUGGAGUCUCAGUCAUGAGUUGUUCACAAUACUCUACUCCUGAUGUAUGAAUGGACAAAUUUUGCAAGCUUCUCCAUUCCAAGAUUCUUUUAAACUUGUGAGUGGUGGAUACUAAUGGUAACCAGUGGGCCAUCAUCUCGUAUUUGCUAACCUAUGUAACUUGUUCGCUAGUUAGGCGAUGGCAAUUAUAGUGUGAGAAUGCCAAUGUAUAGGAUUGACUCUCUGUGUGAUAUAAUUUUAUGUAUAUUUUAAGAAAAUAAUUUUAGUAAGAGUAAGAUAGAAAUUCAAUUCAAAAGGUAAGGUCCAAUCUUACUGUUCGUAUUCUAGACUCCAAGAUCAAGAGAGAGGGGAUUACCUUGAUUGAUUUCUAGAGAGAUGCAUUUGAAAAUAAAAUUAAUCAAUCUAAUUCAAAAGUUCCAAUCACAUAGAAUUGCUGAGAGAGAUUACCUUGGUCGAUAGGAUUUUGCGGGAGGAGUUUUAACUUUGUUCUAGAGAGAGAAAUUACCUUGAUUGAUAAGGUUUUGCGAGAGAAGUUUGAACUUAUGUAUUUAUUUAUUUUUAUAAUUUUAUGCAUUUGUUAUGUGUGAAGCUUCAUAAUUAUUAGUCCAAACUUAUUUAAAAUUUGAACAAAAUCAUUAGAAACAAAAUAUAUUUGGUUCGGUUUAAUAAAUUUAUUGGUUGGUUUCAGUUCAAGUAAAUACAAAAUAGAUUAAUUUGGUUCGGUGAAAAUUCUCUUUAAAAACCGAUUAAACCGAACCAGUUAUAUCAAUUCAAAAAAUAAAGAGACAAGAAAAAAAAUAUAAAUUUCUAUUUUCACAAUUGAGUUUUUAAAGUGGACAAAAAUUUGAGAUAUUAAAAUAAGAAAAAUGAAUAAACUUAGUGGGAUGAAGGGAGUAGUAAUUUUCUUACAUUUGGCUUUUUAAAUCUUAAAUUCAUU
rnacentral:lncRNA from 1 species